ACAUGCCUACAUCAUAGCGUUAAUGCACCGGAUCCCAUUAGAACUAUGUAGUUAAGUGUGCUCAGGCUAGAGUAAUAGCAAGAUGGGUGACCACCCGGGAAGUCCUAUUGUUUUACAUGCC
rnacentral:rRNA from 1 species